CUCCGGUUGAUCCUGCCGGACCCGACUGCUAUCAGAGUGGGACUAAGCCAUGCGAGUCAACAUAGCAAUAUGUGGCAUACGGCUCAGUAACACGUAGUCAACAUGCCCAGGGGACGUGGAUAACCUCGGGAAACUGAGGAUAAACCGCGAUAGGUCAUCACUUCUGGAAUGGGUAAUGACUUAAAUCUAUAUGGCCCCUGGAUUGGACUGCGGCCGAUCAGGCUGUUGGUGAGGUAAUGGCCCACCAAACCUGUAACCGGUACGGGCUCUGAGAGGAGGAGCCCGGAGAUGGGCACUGAGACAAGGGCCCAGGCCCUAUGGGGCGCAGCAGGCGCGAAACCUCUGCAAUAGGCGAAAGCUUGACAGGGUUACUCUGAGUGAUUUCCGUUAAGGAGAUCUUUUGGCACCUCUAAAAAUGGUGCAGAAUAAGGGGUGGGCAAGUCUGGUGUCAGCCGCCGCGGUAAUACCAGCACCCCGAGUGGUCGGGACGUUUAUUGGGCCUAAAGCAUCCGUAGCCGGUUCUACAAGUCUUCCGUUAAAUCCACCUGCUUAACAGAUGGGCUGCGGAAGAUACUAUAGAGCUAGGAGGCGGGAGAGGCAAGCGGUACUCGAUGGGUAGGGGUAAAAUCCGUUGAUCCAUUGAAGACCACCAGUGGCGAAGGCGGCUUGCCAGAACGCGCUCGACGGUGAGGGAUGAAAGCUGGGGGAGCAAACCGGAUUAGAUACCCGGGUAGUCCCAGCUGUAAACGAUGCAGACUCGGUGAUGAGUUGGCUUAUUGCUAACUCAGUGCCGCAGGGAAGCCGUUAAGUUUGCCGCCUGGGAGUACGGUCGCAAGACUGAAACUUAAAGGAAUUGGCGGGGGAGCA
rnacentral:rRNA from 1 species